UGGGAUGUAGCUGUGUUGCUAUUGUGCUUGCCUGGCAUGCAUGAGGCUCUGGGUUCAAUCCCCAGCACCACUU
rnacentral:tRNA from 1 species